GCCCUUCCAAGACCGGAUUUGAAGUGUGAUUGCGUCACACCAUCACAGAGUUCUGUGGGGGAAUUCAUAUUGAAAUGACUAUUCUGGAGAAGAUGAGCCUGCUGGGGAAGGACCUAAAAAUACAAAGAUUGCAGGUGUCCUGGGACAGGUGAGGGAGUGAGUGGAAGCUGGUGGAGCUACUCAGGGAGGACAUCCAAUUCCAGAGAGAGACAGAGGAGAGAAGAGCACAG